CGCACAUUGCGCCCUUUGGUAUUCCGAAGGGCAUGCCUGUUCGAGCGUCAUUUCAACCCUCAAGCUUCUGCUUGGUGUUGGGCCCUCGUCCGUCACGGACGUGCCCGAAACUCAUAGGCGGUGGUGCCCAGCUCCCAGCGUAGUCAAUUCUACCCGCUCCGGAGCCUGGACGUCACCCGCCUGACGACCAUACACUUCUUCUAUGGUUUGACCUCGGAUCAGGUAGGGAUACCCGCUGAACUUAA
rnacentral:misc_RNA from 1 species